rnacentral:rRNA from 1 species
UACGUAGGGGGCAAGCGUUGUCCGGAUUUAUUGGGCGAAAGCGCGUGUAGGCGGCCAGAUAGGUCUGCUGUGAAAACUCGAGGCUCAACCUCGAGCUGUCGGCGGAAACCAUCUGGCUAGAGUCCGGAAGAGGAGAGUGGAAUUCCUGGUGUAGCGGUGAAAUGCGCAGAUAUCAGGAAGAACACCUAUGGCGAAGGCAGCUCUCUGGGACGGUACUGACGCUGAGACGCGAAAGCGUGGGGAGCGAACAGG